GACAUGGUAGUUAUAGUGCACGGAGGUAUCAUCGAUACUUGAGGCAUAGACAGAGGGCAAAAUUCCAGCGUGAUCUCCGUCUAUGUAUCCUGGAUGUUGGGGAUGACAAAGUAGUUAGAUGUUGAGAUUCAAAGGCAUAUCCACAAGCUAUAUCGAAGUAUGUAACACCAGAUAAAUAAAGUUAUGUUGAGCACAUUGUUUAUAUGUAUCAAACAAUACAUAAGAAACUAAUACUGAGCCAGCAUGAUAUAAGUACAAAUACAGAGUAAGUAAAGGAUGACAAUUGCAUGUAAGGCAAGCAAGGUCCGAGCCGUGAAUAUAAGAUUACUACAUAUGAAAUGAUUUUUGAAACUGUCUUACAUUUGACCUGUCCAUUUAGUCUUUGACUGAGACUUUGUUUUCUUGUUGGGCCUGUGAUCCGGUUCACUGGGAAAACAACAAACAUGAGUAACGCAUAUAGCUGCACGAUUCUGAAGAGCAAGAGGGAGGGCAUGUUACUUGUCGGAUGCUUCUUCGGUUGGUGGAAGCGAGCUGGUGGCGUCGUUCAGGCCAUCCUAGAUGUCAGUGGCCAGCUGUAUGUAAGACGACAUUUGGUCUUGUCAGGAUGCAAACGGAAAGCAGAACAAUAGUGUGAUUACCUCUAAUUCGUUUACACAUUUGGGUGCUGGAGUGUUAUCAUCGUCACUUUCUGA
rnacentral:lncRNA from 1 species